UGCCCAAGUGGGCAGAGGGAUCCUCCUCCCAUCCGCGCUGGUCACAAGGAAAGUAACAGAACACUGUUGGUUACAAAAGCACUGAAUAUUCUAGCUUACAUGAGCAGGCAAUGCUCAUGCAUUCAUAAUGAUCAGGUCAUGCCCAAAAUUAACCAGAGGCAUGGUUUCUCAGGAUGUCUGCAAAGAAUUCCUUAUACAUAGUAGUUAACUGUCAGCUCACUGUCAAGCUUGUUAUGGACUAUCCUAAAGAACUCUUUUCAAAACAAAUACGCCACAGAAAAGCUCACUCUUCAGCCAUGUGGGUGUAAAGCAGCUUGUUGUCCUUUGGAUUUAGACCAGGAACCAGACCCCAGCUCUACUUUAUUUAGCAAUAUGAUCUUAACUGUAGGAUUUUGUUGUCCCUGAGACAUACAUAAUGUCAUGAUGUUUCAGCACAUAUCUCCCACAUCCCAAAGGAAGACUUGAUAUUUCUUUUUUUCUUGGCUUUAUAUUGUCAGAGAUUUUCAUUUUAUGUAGAGAGCUGAAAAUGAUUUUUUUUUUCUGAUGAGAACUUACAGCUAGAAUCCAAACUAAAGAAUAUAGAGGUCUUGGAACAAAGUCUAAAGGUUGAUGUCAAGUCUAGGUAAACUAUGUCAAGAAGCUGUCAUGGAAGCACACGCUAAAC